rnacentral:rRNA from 1 species
UACGAAGGGGGCUAGCGUUGCUCGGAAUUACUGGGCGUAAAGCGCACGUAGGCGGCUUUCUAAGUCGGGGGUGAAAUCCUGGAGCUCAACUCCAGAACUGCCUUCGAUACUGGAAAGCUCGAGUCCGGGAGAGGUGAGUGGAACUGCGAGUGUAGAGGUGAAAUUCGUAGAUAUUCGCAAGAACACCAGUGGCGAAGGCGGCUCACUGGCCCGGUACUGGACGCUGAGG